rnacentral:rRNA from 1 species
AGUGAACGCUGGCGGUAGACCUAACACAUGCAAGUCGAACGGCAGCACAGUAAGAGCUUGCUCUUACGGGUGGCGAGUGGCGGACGGGUGAGGAAUACAUCGGAAUCUACUUUUUCGUGGGGGAUAACGUAGGGAAACUUACGCUAAUACCGCAUACGACCUACGGGUGAAAGCAGGGGAUCUUCGGACCUUGCGCGAUUGAAUGAGCCGAUGUCGGAUUAGCUAGUUGGCGGGGUAAAGGCCCACCAAGGCGACGAUCCGUAGCUGGUCUGAGAGGAUGAUCAGCCACACUGGAACUGAGACACGGUCCAGACUCCUACGGGGGGCAGCAGUGGGGAAUAUUGGACAAUGGGCGCAAGCCUGAUCCAGCCAUACCGCGUGGGUGAAGAAGGCCUUCGGGUUGUAAAGCCCUUUUGUUGGGAAAGAAAAGCAGCAGGUUAAUACCCCGCUGUUCUGACGGUACCCAAAGAAUAAGCACCGGCUAACUUCGUG